rnacentral:RNase_P_RNA from 1 species
AGUGGGGGGAGGACGGCUGACCCGGGCGCAUAUGUAUGCGCUGAGGAGGAAGUUCUGCCCACCGUAAGAGUCCGAGGCGCUUAAGGCGCGAUCGGGAACAGAAACGAACGACUCGCCCUCGCAGAUGAAUAUGACGAAAGGAGAUGCGCGGGAAGAGAUGAAACGGCCCGUGAACGGAUGCUGUGCGCGGUGCAAGGCUUUACGCCGCUUAGUCCAAUGCCGUCUAAAACAGAAGGCAGGCUACCACCCCCCGCU